GACACGGUGGCCUAAUGGUUAGCGUGUUGGACUUUGGAUCGAGCAGUCCAGGUUUGAGCACUGGUCAAUGUGUUGUGUCC